GAUGAAGAACGUAGCGAAAUGAGAUACUUGGUGUGAAUUGCAGAAUCCCGUGAACCAUCGAGUCUUUGAACGCAAGUUGCGCCCGAAGCCAUUAGGCCGAGGGCACGCCUGCCUGGGCGUCACACGUCGUUGCCCCCCCAUCUACUCCUUCGGGAUUGCGGGGGGCGGAUGAUGGCCUCUCGUGCGCCUCGUCGCGCGGUUGGCCUAAAUGCCAAGUCCUCGGCGACGCACGCCACGACAAUCGGUGGUUGCGAAACCUCGGUUGCCUGUCGUGUGCGGUCGUCGCGCAUCGAGGGCUCGAAAAAAUUGCCGGGCUUCGGCUCGACUUUCAACGCGACCCCAGGUCAGGAGGGGUUACCCGCUGAAUUUAAGCAUAUCAAUAAGCGGAGGA
rnacentral:misc_RNA from 1 species